rnacentral:tRNA from 1 species
GCGCAGGUGUUGUAAUGGUAGCCAAGCAUCCUUGAGGUGGAUGUGCCGAAAGGCGUGGAGGUUCGAGUCCUCUCCUGCGCACUA